rnacentral:lncRNA from 1 species
CAAUAUUCAAUAACCACAAUUUACACCAUCAAUCUAUCAUGUCUCUAAACCAUGUUCCAACAACAAUUCAACAUAAUCAUAAACAUAACAACUGAAACCCUAGAUCAUCCUCCUCUUCAUUGCCAUGAUUCCACGUCACACUUUACCUGCACCACAAACACAAUGAGAUGCGUGGGUAUUAUCAUAAAUACUCAACGAAGUCCUCUCAUCUAUUAGGCUAUACACACAAGCAUAUUAAACCAAAUCAAUAAGCAUCAGAUUAACCAAAUCAAACAAACCAGCCAUAAAAAACACGAAUUACUCGCAGUCUAGAAAUUGCUGCCCAGAAAAACUGUCCAAAAUUGGUGUCGACCGAUACCCACACAUGUGGCGAUCAACACUACCUCCGCAAAAGCCCUGAAAUCGCUUCUCAACUCUUCAAAGAGCAAAUUCAGCACCUCCAACGCUCCAGCCAUGAACCCUAACACUCAAUCAUGCAAAUUCAGCAACCAAAACACACAAAUAAGUCACACACAACAAUUUCCAGCCAUCCAAAUCAAUCCUACACAUUAUAAGGGUUUAACAUGCUCAGAUGAAUCAUGGUCACGCACUCACCCUUGAUAUGGAUUGAAAGGAUGGGCAAAACAGAGAAGAAGAACACUCCAACAACCUCUCUUCAAACCCAAAGCCACGAAUCCCACUGAUCUCUUGCUAGAACACCCAAGAACAGCCUCCGGAAGCCUCCAGAAUUCCCUCGCAAACCUCACCUUAGCACCUUAGGAUCCACCUUCCCUCACAACACUCUCUUCUCUAUUUUAGAAAGAGACAAAACACCAAAAAGAGAAGAAGAAAGACGGCUGCUCGAGUUUUAAUCGACCUAGGAUUGCUCUCAAACCAAAAUUAAGUCAACCCAACACUGAUGUCGGUCGACACAACCAAAAUUUCAGACACGGGUGUUACAAAAACGACCAUAAAAAACAUCAGUAUUGAGCUUCGGCUUUUAAACUAGAUACCCUUAGUAAAAUUAUCAUAACAAAAAAGCAUAAGAGAGAGGUUGUGAGAUCCUAGUUUGCGGAGAGAUUU